UACAUGCUGUCUGACUUUAGCCAAGUUAAUUACCUUCCCUACAUCUCUCAUUCUUCAUCAGCAAAAUGGAGAUAAUAAUAGCACUAAGUUCACUGGGAGAUUGUGAAGACUAAAUCACUUAAUACACAUGAAGCAUCCGGAAAAGGGCCUGGCACACUAUGUCCACAGACUAAGACUCUCGCACUGGUGAUGAAAUACUCACUUUUCCACUCAAGCCGCCUGGAAACUUCCUCGGGACCUCUGAAAGGGCUGCCCCUGAGCAGAACUCUCCCUCUCCCCAGCGCAGAGCCCUGCCGGGCAGAGGCCACUGGCUGCUCUCCCACCCCAGAAUGUGGAUCUUCACAAGAGGCCUGUGUCAACAGCCCUAUCAGGAAGAUCACAUGACACAGCCUUUGUCUCCUUCCUGCCGGUGUGUCGGUGGUCAUGACCAAUGACUGCAACAGGGGACUGCCAGGGGAGGAAAAAUGCUUCAUCUAUAUUCUAGCUGUCAAAGAGGAAGACAAGACACCUCCCCAGCUGCCUUCCACCACAGCCCAGAAAGGCCCUGCUUCUCCUACCUGAAUGGUUCGGUGCGGGAGAACAACUAGAGACACAGGAAACUAGGUCUCCAGCCAGGAGCCCACUGUCCUCCCUCCAUGGAAAUGAAAGACAAGUUGCUUUGAUCACCUUGGAGACCAACCACCUCCUUCUUCUGAAAGCUAACCCCACCUUAGCAGCAGCUGCCUCCCCUCCCCCCAGGAGCCCCACUCCCUCCACUCGGCUUGAGUAUCAGGCUAAUCAGUUUGAUCUGACAGAUUUUAAUUACAUUAAUUAGGGCUUUUCUGAAUAGGCCUGAUUAGCAUCCUACCAAGGGUUCUUUGGUGGUGGUUUUUUUUGUUUGUUUUGGUUUUGUUUUUUUUUCCCUUCUUCUCUAAAGCAGCUCUGCUAGCAUCAGGACUAAUACUUUCAUUUCUUCAAACAAUGGUGACAUUUUUGUCUUGCUCAAGGUAAAUAAUCAGAUAUUUGGAGGCGCCAAGUGUGACAGUGUAUUUUAUAAUAAUAUCACCCAUGAGGAUACGGAGUAGGCUCUGCAUCUAUCUCAUGAACCUUGGUGGGGAAGAAGAGAUUGUUUAGGACAUUUCUCUAGAACAUAGGCAUUGGUUUUGUUUAGCUUUUGCCUAAGGAAAACUCUACAUUGAGUUUUAAAGAUCCAACCUCUUCCAGAUCUUCCCCCGCACCCCCAAUCAGACUGAAGCACAAAGAUAUUCUUACCUCUCUGUAUCAUUUUGUUGACCCCGUUUUAGAGAGAAUCAGUGAUAGUCACAGAAAAGCAAACAGAGAUUUAGCCUUUGUCUCUCCAUUGUUUCUUAAAAUAAAAAUACCUUGAGUGUCAACAAGGUUUUUACUGAAAAUAUUUAACUACUUUCAGCCACUAAUAAAAGAGAACAACGUUGAUUUCUCAAAAUACUGUACAAAGAUUAGCAUGGCACAUAUAUUUGCCUUUGUUGAUCAUCUGUGCUAUAAUUACUGCUUUAAAAUAUGCUGUUUUGAAUAAGCCACAAUAAAUGAGGGCGUAGUUCCAGACACCAGGAAGAAAAUCUACCAAACUAAAUAAAGUCUGUUUGCUUUUUU
rnacentral:lncRNA from 10 species